UGUAGAGGCAGGGUAGAGAGAAAGUAGGCAGGGUAGAGGGAAUGUAGGCAAUGUAGAGGCAGGGUAGAUGGAUGCAGAGGCAGGGUAGAUGGAUGUAGAGGCAGAGUAGAUGGAUGUAGAUGCAGGGUAGAGGGAUGUAGAGACUGGGUAGAGGGAUGACCCUGGUUGUAGGGUUAAUAUAAAGACAUUGUUUGGUUGCUGAUUUUAUUGACAUAACAUAACAUUAACAAUCUCCAUGCGGAAAAUACACAUCUGAAAACCAAUGAAUCCGUAAAAAAAAGGAGAAGCUCUUAACAAAAUGAAUGCAUGUAUCAGUACUAUAACCGCCCAAGAAUCUAUCUCCCAGGAUGAACAAGACCAGCAAUUGUUAUUGUGUCGUCUUCAGCCAUCCUGGUGGAGAGCGAAGAAACAGUGAUAGACAGUUGGAACAAGUUAUGUGAGGUGGUGGAGGCCAAAGCAGCCAGUACAGUAGUUUCAAAGCUAUAUACGACAAAGAGUGCUGAGAAGACAUGACACCAAGAGCAUAGAUCUCAUCCUGUAACUGCACUUAGUAAUCUCUUAUGGUCUGAAGGGGGGAAAAGGAAUAUCGAGCAGUACUCAAGACGAGAGAGCAUGGGCGAUUUGAAUAAUAUAAGAUGAGUUGGAGGAGUGGUUUUAUACAGUCUUGCCAGCAAUAAUGGGUAUUUAGUUACACGCUGAACAGGAACCUAAGAAAUAUAAAGCCUGAAGAUGUCAAGCAUGAAGCAUUGGAGCUGCAUGAAGGAAGAGUUUAGCCACAUUGACCGUCAGAAGAUCUUCAUCCCCCUGAUCUAGCGCUAUCUCUAAAGCAUCCCUCAGUUGUAAAGAGAAGCCCCGGUUGUGCUCCACCAGCUCCUCAACAUUUAAAAAUAUUCCUCUGAGCUGAUCAUGACUGAGAAGACCAGCAACUAAGAUAGGCCAUGUUUGCCCAUCAGCUCCCUCCAGAUGUUGUUUUGCAGUUCCUCUCAUUCCUUCAAUAUGCCUUGAGUUAACAUAAUAACUAAAUUAGCAUAAUAAGGACUGGCAGAGAUGAUGUUGGUAUUGGAGGUGACGGUGACGGUGACUCUGGGGGAGGAUUGAGUGGUAAAGGAGGAGGAGAUGGCAGUGGUCGCUGAGGUGGUGAAAUUUUAGGAGGUGCUACACUCAGAGAUACAGGUCUUGAGGUAGGUGGUGGUGGUGGUGGAACAUUUGGCCUUGUGGGACUGAGAGUACGACUUCUGGGUGGUGGUGGAGCUUGUCGGGUUGGUGUAAUGACAGAUGGAGAAGAUAUAUUGAAGCUUGCAACAGGUAGCUUGUUAUAUGAAUUAAAAUCAAAAUUUAAUGUAUCGUGGGAAUUUGUUGUGCUCACAUCCGAGGUCUGAUGGUCACUCAGACUACGAUGGAGGCUAGACCCUUCACAUUCAUCACCUGGAAAAACGUAUACAUAUCACAUUACAAACUAUUGAUAUGUAUAGUGAGUAUAUAACCAAGUUAAUUUCAUUUCAUUUAAUAGGUCUCAUGAUACUGAGUUGAUAUUUGUCAACACAAGCCAUUUUUAAAACUAUUGUAUAGUUCUAUUCUUUGCACACACAUGGUCUACCUUUAUCAGGAACAGCAAGGCUAUUAGGCUUUUUCUACUUAUAAGGAUAACAAAUUGGCACUUAAGAAAGUCACCUGUAUGAUAAAUUUGGUUUUACAUAAAUAAUGCCAGUGGUUUCCUCCUGUGUAGUGAGUAUAAUAUAUAAAGGAACAUUAUCAUCUCCAAAUAUUUGUUAAAUAGAAAGUUAAACAUUGUACAUAUUAAUGUAUUUCUAACCACUUAUAACAUAAUGAACUAAUAAAUAAUUACCUCUGCA